rnacentral:rRNA from 1 species
GUGCCAGCAGCCGCGGUAAUACAGAGGUCCCGAGCGUUGUUCGGAUUCAUUGGGCGUAAAGGGUGCGUAGGCGGUCUUCUAAGUUUGAUGUGAAAUCCCGGGGCUCAACCCUGGAAUUGCAUUGAAUACUGGAGGACUAGAGUACCGGAGAGGAAACUGGAAUUUACGGUGUAGCAGUGAAAUGCGUAGAGAUCGUAAGGAAGACCAGUGGCGAAGGCGAGUUUCUGGACGGUAACUGACGCUGAGGCACGAAGGCCAGGGGAGCAAACGGGAUUAGAUACCCCGGUAGUCC